AACGAACGCUGGCGGCAGGCCUAACACAUGCAAGUCGAGCGAGGACUUCGGUUCUAGCGGCGGACGGGUGAGUAACGCGUGGGAAUGUGCCCUUCUCUACGGAAUAGCCCUGGGAAACUGGGAGUAAUACCGUAUACGCCCUAUUGGGGAAAGAUUUAUCGGAGAAGGAUCAGCCCGCGUUGGAUUAGGUAGUUGGUGGGGUAAUGGCCUACCAAGCCGACGAUCCAUAGCUGGUUUGAGAGGAUGAUCAGCCACACUGGGACUGAGACACGGCCCAGACUCCUACGGGAGGCAGCAGUGGGGAAUCUUAGACAAUGGGGGCAACCCUGAUCUAGCCAUGCCGCGUGAGUGAUGAAGGCCUUAGGGUUGUAAAGCUCUUUCAGCUGGGAAGAUAAUGACGGUACCAGCAGAGGAAGCCCCGGCUAACUCCGUG
rnacentral:rRNA from 1 species